GACGAACGCUGGCGGCGUGCUUAACACAUGCAAGUCGAACGGAAAGGCGCUGCUUUUGUGGGGUGCUCGGGUGGCGAAGGGGAGGGGAACGUAAGAGUAACCUGCCCUGGACUUUGGGACAACUUAAGGACACGGGGGCUAAGACAGGACAGGAGCUCCUGCUGCUGUGUGGGGGUUGGACUGGGUCGGCGGUUGUGGAUGUACGCGCGGGUUAUCAGCUUGUUGGUGGGGUUGUGGCUGACCAGGGCUUUGACGGGUAGCCGGCCUGAGAGGGUGACCGGCAACGUUGGGACUGAGAUACGGCCCAGACUUCUACGGGAGGCAGCAGUGGGGAAUAUUGUACAGUGGGCGGGAGCCUGAUGCGGCGACGCCGCGUGCGGGAUGAAGGCCUUCGGGUUGUGAAGCGCUUUCGCCUGUGACGAAGCGGGAGUGACGGUAAUGGGUAAAGAAGCACCGGCUAACUACGUG
rnacentral:rRNA from 1 species